AAUUUUGCUACAUAUAAUAAAUAUUUAUUCUCAUAAAAAAAUUACUACAUUGACUAAACUUCAAAAAAUUAAACUAUUGUGCUGAUAACUUACAAAAAGAGGAAAAAAAAUAGGAAAAAUUCAAUAAAUUUGUAUAUUUUAUUAAGAACUAAAAUCCUAUACAAACUUUUCUCCAUUAUUGAAUAUUUUUUUUCAAAUUUCAGCCCAUCACGUUGAAAGCAAUGACGGCC
rnacentral:lncRNA from 1 species